rnacentral:RNase_P_RNA from 1 species
GCGGUUGCGCGUUCCGCCGCUGGCACUUCGGUGCUGGAGGAAAGUCCGGACAACGCAGAGCGCCAGGCUUUGGAAACAAAGGCCGGGGUAACCCGGUAGAAAGUGCCACAGAAAAGAACCGGCCGCAAGGUCAAGGGUGAAAACGUGAGGUAAGAGCUCACGCGCUCCGAUGGUGACAUCGGUUUGGGGUAAACCUCCUGGGUUGCAA